UUACCAUAUUAUUCUUUGUUUAGUUGUUUAUUUGUACCCAAUUUUCCCUUAUUCGCUUUUCUUUUUUUCUUUUUUUUUAUAAAAAACGCCGUAUAUAUAAAUAUUAAUUUUCCCAAUCAAAAAAAGAAAAAAAUCUAUAACAACAAUAACAACAAAUUAAAUUCUGAAAAGCACCGAGAAACAAAGCUUCUUUUGUUUUUCUCUUGAAUCCUCCAUCAAAGUUUGUGCAUUGGAAUUUAUGUAAUAGGGAUCAUGAGAUUCAAGAAAGGGACCAAAGUGGAAGUCUUGAGCAAAAAAGAGGUGCCAUCAGGCUCCUGGCAGUGUGCUGAGAUAAUCAGUGGCAAUGGCCACAGCUAUACAGUUAGGUAUCAAGGCUAUUCGGGUGCCACUGACAAGAUGAUUGUGGAGAGGGUAUCUAGGAAGGCUAUCAGACCUUGUCCUCCUGCUUUGGUAGUUCCGGAUAAUUGGGUUCCUGGUGAUGUUGUAGAGGUUUUUGACAAUUUUUCCUGGAAGAUGGCAACAGUUUUAGGGGUUUUAGAGAAAAAGUACAUUUUGGUUAGGUUGCUGGGAUCAUCUCUGGAAUUCAAGGUCAGUAGAUUUGACAUCCGUGUGAGACAAUCAUGGCAAGAUGAUGAAUGGGUUGUGAUUGGAAAGGGUUCUGGCAGUUGUGAAGAUGGGAAAUAUGGUGAAAAUUAUACUCUUAGAUACAAUCAAAAUUCUAGCUCCCAAUUUCAGAAUACAACUAGAAUGACAAAUCGACAUCUGAAAGGUGAAUGUGGUCCUGUUAACAAAAAGGUUAAUUACCAGGUAUCCGUUAUUGCUUCCUCAAAAACUCUAAAGAUAGGAUGCUACUCUCAAACAGAAGCUUUUGCUGGAGCUAGACAGAAGUUUAGAGCAGUUGAGAAAGAUGGAAGAUUGUACCGACUGGUUGCUGCAAAUCCAUCCAUUCAUGAACAGGAUGAUGCUGUUGCUUUCCCAAGAGAUAUGCUGGGUGAAAAAUACAUACAUGCUUCUAUUGACAACAGAACUGGGUUGUCUGAAGUGGAUGCGGAGAGGAGAAAACCAAAUGGUGCUGUCGGAUGUUAUAUUGCAGAACACUUAGAAACCAAUGACACUGAGCGUGUUACAUGCUCUGUUGGUAGUUGUAGCGUGAGUAGUAACAAUCUAUAUAAGUUGCCUCAUCGUGUUUCUGCAGGUCCUAUUGAAGAUGUUGAUGGUCAAUGUAGUGAUGCUGAAUCUUUUUGUCCAAGGGGAGAUGAGGGUUGAAGAAGGAGGCUUAGGCACCUUCCUUCCAAAUGUCCAAAGAUGAUUUGGGGUCUCCUGUGAGCCUUAGAUAUCUGUGUUGCUGAAGGAUAAAAGACCAGAAUCUUGUGGCUGCCAUGGGAUGACCUGAUAUGUGGAUAUUCCAAAAGGUUUUCUUUUGGACCUUUAUGGCUGAUGAACAUGGAGCUUUAUCAUUGUCUGCUCUCAGAAUUUCAUGUCCCCUUCUUGAGGAUGGUUCGAUGCCUAUUGUGCUGCUCUGCUGUAAUGACCACUCUGCAAGAGAUGCGCAUGGGUGAUCUGGUUGCGUCAGUCAGCAAAUUCUUGUUCUUGCUUUAGAUUUGGUCCAUUUUGGGUGCAAACAAAUCUAACAAAGAGGCUUAUGUCAGAGUCAAAUGCAAUUGGCAAACUUUGGGAAAGAUUAUUACAGCCUGGUGCAGUGGUGCUAAAAUCCACCAUAUAGCCUGUGGAUGUUGUCCCCAAGCAAUUUCUCAUUGUCAGAACCCUUUACUCUUGGAGGGGCAGGAGCCUUUCUUGGGGUACUCCGGUCCUACUUGAUUAUAUGCCCGAUCUUGUUCUUGUAGGAACAACGUGGGGUCCCAAACAGGUUUAUAACAAUUCCAAAACAUUGUAAAGUUAGUUCAGCAGUCAAUCAUGUUGUUGGCAAAUGAUAUAUAUGAAUCUUUCUGCUAAUUUGUGGUCAGUUUUGAGAUUCGAUAAUGCUAUCAUUAUUAUUGUUAUUGGUAUCAUUGUUCCUGUGCUGUGGUUCAGUUUUGUAACAGGUGGAACUGAAGGCUGCUUCAUUCACUCUUUCCGAUGGGGUGCUUUUGCCAAAAAACCUGCUUGGGCUUUGAUUAUUUUAGUGAACCUGAUACAUGGACAGGCUUGUCUGCAACAUGGGACAGAAUUGAAGACUUGAUGGGCCAGAAGGCAAACUUGCCUACAAAGUUGAUUAAAAAACCAAGUCUGGAGUUUAAGGGUAAUAGCUGCCGGCUGGUAAAUAUGUUCAAAACUCAGUCUGUCCUUGACAGCCACGCCCCACCUUCGAGAGCAAAAGCAGUCAACACCAACACCCCACAAUUCUAACAUUGAUGUUUACUGUUUAUUCAGUCAAAUAUGAUCAGCUGGGAAGUUAGGAACCGAGUGGUUAAUUGUGGAAAGAGGAGCAGCAGCCAGCCAGGGCAACAGAUUAUCAGCAGCCUAGUGAUAAACAAUCUGCUUUAGUUAGAAACCAAAGUUUUGUAUUACCUCCCAAGCCCUACCCAAGAACAAAAAUCUUUGGUGCAUCGACUCCACUCCACUAAAGCAAAUCUGGCAUUCCAGGCUUAUCUUUUCAUCUCUUUCUCUACAGUAAGCUCACAUGCCUUAAAAGUAUUGGAUCUUGCCUUGGUGGUUGUUUAUGUUCUUCAAUGAGUUUAAAGAAAUCAAGUGCUUUAAGUUGCAAAAUGUACAGUAAAAACACACAAACUAAUAUUUGCAGAUGAAAAAAACUAUUGAACUACUUAUCUGAUUCA